UGAGGAUCUUUCCGGGACAGGCAGACGACUUGUUCUUUUCUGUUUGAUUGUACCGAUACCUUGAUUUAUAUCAUUCGUUUCAGUAGAUGAAGGGAGUUCCCAAGAAAUAUUCUGCACACUCGAUUCCUGUAUGGAGGUUGUAGAAUUAGUGUCAGAGAGAUCGGGUGUAAAUCUUGGUUUUCAUAUAGACUGCCUGGGAAACUUUCAGAUUGGUCAAUUUUAUGGCCCAGGUUGAAGCUGUGAUGCACUGACUCUUUUACAAUAUUACUUAAAUCUUCAGCUUUUUCAUUACUAAUGAGGUCAACGAUUUCGGGAAAGUGGUCGGUUAAAAAAAUGGAUUCUCCGGAGCCAUUCACAAGGACAGUGGACGUGGUAUUGUAGUAAUUGAUAACAUAUUUGUAUAGUCUCUUACUCUCAAGCGAGAUAAUAGUCGUAACUGUAUAACUGCAACUAUUCUGUUUGUCUACUCGGUUGGAGAUGUCUACUUUUAAAAGCUCUCGUUGUUCCAGACUUGCAUAGUAUAAAUUAGUCACUCGACGAAAUUCCUCGUAGUAGCCGCUGUUCCAAAUAAUGCGUAUCCCUCCCCCAGUUUGCUUUAAUGUCAUCGAGUCUCUGAAGGCGGCAUCCAGUUUUUUCUUCAAACAUUUAUCAAUAUUUAGUGUGUAAUUUAGCUUCUUGCUUGACCGUAUAGCAGUUGGCAGUUUACUUACAUAUUUAGUUAUAAGCUUAGGCAUUCUUUCUUCUGGUUCGAAGCGAUUUACUGUGGUGACCAUCACUGGCGUCAUAUAAAUAGACCCCUCCCCCUCCCCAUCUAUCUUCUAUAAUAUAUACUAUUAUUAUAUAUAUAUUUGUGACUGUCGUUUGUAUGUCUGUCUGUUCGGGGUUGGCGGCUACACUAGGUCUGCCCCGAGUCUGAAAUUUGGGGUAUACGGGUAGCUCGGACCGGGGAGUAACAUAGGCCAGGUGGCGUUAGUCUACCACUUCCGGUUUCGGAGUUAUGACCCCCGAGCAAAGCCGGGUAUCCUGCUAGUAGAGUUAUAUAACAGGGGCCGCGUGGAAAGGGUCUAUUUAUAUGACGCCAGUGCUCUACAUAGUCUGGGUGUUCGAGAAUUCAAAUUUUUGAUAAAAAAAAAAUCGUUUCCAAGUAACAUGUCUAUGAAAGGAUAUCUCUGCCAAUAUAAUAAAGUAGCUAAGUCUGUAACUCAAUAUCAUCCAAAAUCUUCGACAUUGAAAACACGAUUUGUUUUUGCAAUUUAAAUCAGCAUUGGUGUUGUGGUCUUACCUGGAAAAGAUGGGCUUCUGAUAUCCAAUAUUUAAGACAAAAUAAACAUUUUACCAUUGGUACACGAAUCGUGUACCAUAAUGCGUUUCAGCGCCAUUUGUAACAAGGUGUUCAAAGAAUGGGGCUAGACAUAUUCCACAAGUCAUGUCAAACGAUGAUGCCAUAUUCUUAUUUGGAUAGCAUGCGCAAUAUAUACUAUCGGUGUUGACUGGAAUAACCAUGACGCUAGAAACUGUCUUUCGGUUGAGACUUCUGGUGUAUUUCGCCGAACAUAACUGAUGACAAUUCACAGUAAAACAGAAACGAUUGAAUGUAAAACAAUUUAUAUAAAUUCAUAUUACAUUAUUAUAUGUGUUGCGACCCAUUUGUGCCAAUUUCUAGGCCCAAAAUAAUAGCGAUUUAGUUUAAACAAUAUUUUAUCCAAUAAACUGAAAUGGAUUGAACAACAGGCAAAGGCCUAUAUAAGUUCUCUCCAAACAUAUAAAAUAGUUUAAUGUUAUGUUUACAGUAAACAAUGGCGGACAUAUGUAUAGGUAGUGAGUUACAAACAUAUAUACAUUUCUUGGAGUGCAAUGUUUAGAUAUACAUUAUAAUUACAUUUAAGGUUAUGAAAAUAGAAAAGUAUUACAUAAUGUAGACAUAGUUUUAAUAAUUAAAACUUCAAAACCGCUUGCUAUCUUUUAUAAAUUUUGGCACUAUUACAAAUAUGUUAGAAUUGGUAUCAUCUGAAAGAUCGGUGUUGCCAUAUAAAAUAAGACCCAUUGUAACAUUUAGUUUAAGCUAGUGUAUAUUAUUUUGGAGAAAUGUUCUUGUGGCAGAGUAGGCUGGACAUAUGAAAAAGUAAUGGUAAUUAUCUUCGUCUUGAAUUACAGUUAGGGCACACUUUUGUUUCGCUCAGAAAAUGGUGGAAUAAGUGAUUAUUUAAGUUACUUACGGUAUAGCUUUAUUUCUUAAUUGACAAUGAAUAAUAUUCUCUUUUCUAUUUCCAGUAUUAUCACCCGAUGCAACUGAUACACCCUAUAUGAUUCAGUUCCACCCGGUUGAACAGGGGGUAUAUUAUAAUAUAAUAAUAUAUAUUAUUGAGGUUGGUCGAUUGAGUAGGGUGUGAUAAUACCAUAGCCUUAUGUUCAUACACAUUAGCCAAUAAGAUUUCGUGUCUACGUCUUCAGAGUCUAAUGACGUAGGGUGGUAGUUUUAGGCGCUAUACGACAUCUUGGACCAAAAUUAGAUUCUAGAAGAACUGUACCGGUACGAAUUUACUGUUACUAGGCUUUACGAUGUCGAGGACAAAACAGAUUUCUUCUACCCCUACGGCUACACUGCCACAGUCAGAGGUAAGAUUCUAAAUACUUUGCACGGGUCCAGAUUCUAAAAUAGAAUGGAAUAGACUUGGCUAGGUCGUAACUCGAGCCUCCUAAACUUAAAACUACGGUAGGCCUUUAUUUUCAUUUUUAACUAGGCUAGCCUAGGUUUUAUUUCUAGAUUUAGCCUAGCCCCUUGCCUUCUUUGGCCUCAAAUCCUAGAUUAUAAAUCGGCUAGACCUUGUGUACUUAGGCCUAGUCUGUUUGAUUCCUAUGCCUAUUGCAAUUGCCAAGGCCUAUGCUUAUAUUAUAUAAUGCGUUUUUUUCUAUAUCAUAUAUAUAUGGUUGUGACUGGCUGACAAGGGCCAGGCCCAGUUCCUAAAAUUUAAGAACUUUACCACGAUGUAGAGCAAUAAUGAAUUUAGGCCUACUGAGAAUUAGCAGAUUAUGCAUGCGUAUUACAUUUUUAAAAUAUUGCGCCGGGUUUUUAUUUUAUCAAUUCGACAAGACUGCCGCGCCGGUAGUCGAUCCAAGGGUGGUAUCGAGUACGCCCUCGUACCUCGUUUUGAGUUUAAAACUGACCUUGAACUAGAAAAAAAGACUUAACCCUAACCCACAUUCCCCAGCAACAAAUUAAAUCACGUUCUCUCUAGGCCUGUAGUGUUUAUAUCUCAUGACCAUGACAAAAUCUCCAGGUGGCCUUGAUAGGCUAUUUACACCCGACGUUCCAUAGGCCUAUUCGUGAGUAUUUGCUCUACAGAAGCGGCAAUAGUGAGGUUCCGCAGGCAGUACGAACUACGAACUACGAAGUGUUUAUGUGCUGACGUCAUCACUUCGUGUGAUGUCUUGAUAUAAGCGGCGUUCGGUUCGUCCAAUUUCUACGAAGAAAUCGGGAAAAGGUCGUGGUUAAAAAACGAAGUACGACAUCGUGAUUUUCUCGCUGAUUUGUGGAUGAAAUUCGUAUUUUUGCGGUUUUAUAGAAAGAUUGGACAUUUACACUUUAGUAGAAGGUUGAUCAGCGUCAAAGUGAUCGGCAAUUGUUCUGAUUUUGUGCAAAUUAUUGUCGGGCUGUGACAUUUGUUUUUUUUCUGGACAGUCGGCGAUGAGAUCGAAUCAUCUCGAAUUUGAUAAAAAGUAAAAGAAAUUGCAAUUAUCUUCUUGAGGACUAAAAUUUGAUUUGAUUUGAUAUUUUUUAUUUAACCAAACUGAACAGUGUUAUUCCUUGUUUCAAGUGAACAGCCGUGAACUAAACAUCGUACUUCGGACUUCGCAUUUUGGCGGAAACGGAAAUCUGCCACAAACGAAGUACGAAGUACGGAGCCGUUUUCGUAGUUCGGACUUCGUACUUCGUACUGGUUGCGGAACCUCUCUAAUAUCGGUCUCACUACGAAACGAAGAUAUUAUGCCUUUAUGGCCUCCCUUGACCCCCCCCCCCUCUUAGUCCCUAUUAAUAUUAUUAAUACUGUCAAAUUCGAUUAGAUUAUAGAUAAUUUUAAAUUAAAAGGGGACGGACAUGGUAGGCUACCACUUUAAGUUCUUUAACGUUCUCAUUUCACAGUUCAACACAACAGCUCACUGUCACUGGUUUUGAAAUUAAUAUUUAAAGAUACAUUAUGAUGGAAGAUUCGAUAACGAGUUGGCAGUUCUCACUAUAAUAGUUAAAAACUAGAUAAUGUAAAGGCAAUUUGCUGAAAAUUUCAUUUAAAUUGAUCCACUAUGAAGUUAUGAACCGAGAACUAAGCGUUUGAAAUUUCCGCCUAGCCUCUAUCAUCAUUACUAAAGUCAGUACGAUAAACAGCAUAGUCUCAAUUAUCCAUUUAAUCGUUAAAUCGUGAAGAUCGCAGGCUAGCGAUGCCAUCUAGAGUUGAUUAUGGUCUGGAUAGGUUAAUUAUUGUAUAAUCAAUAAUUUAGAUAACAUUUCGGGCCUAAAGAAAUACCUGCAAUUCAGUGCAAUAGGCAGAUUUAGCUCUUGCAUAAUGUAUGUUUAAUAAUAUAAGAUAUAGUUUUCUUUCAAACGAGUCCCUGCAAAAUUAAAUACUUCGAGAGUUUCUUUAAAAACAAAACCAGGAGUAUGGUUCACGGAUGUAAAUACUUCCGAUUCCUUGAUUUAAGCUUUAUAAGUUUAUUACACAUCUCCUAGUCCUACAGUGUUUUCUGACAGUGUCAUUAAUGUAUUGUCUUCAUUUUUUUUCCUUUUUAGAUAACAUCAAUAUUGAAAGAGUUUUAUAACAAGGGUAUUGCAACCAGGGCCAAGGCCCACAGCCACCUACAUCAUGAGGCAACUAUCCGACGGGACUUCCCUUCCAAACUAUAUUGAUCUGGAUUGGAAACUGACAGAAAAAGGUCAGCGGAAGAAAGUAUCACAGAAAAGUAACCGACUCUUGUGGCAUCUGUAUGUACACGAAAACAAAGAUUACUGACUUAUCCGACAUAGGAGUCGAUCUGGUUUGUGUAGGGAAGAACAUGGAAGAUAACCAAAUCAUGUUUGAGCAUGGUUAGGUAACCAAAUCAUGUCCUCGGACUGAUCUUGUUUGGCUUAUACAUUAAACCACUUGUUCUCAUACUAAAGCAAUCGGCAAGGAAGGGUCGUUUAUGACCUACAAGAAUAUUCAAGAUGGUACUAUCAGUGGACUGCCAGCGAAUAAGGAUGUUACAUCCACCCUCCCAGUAUGGUGCAAAGAAACUCAAACAGAUAAUGGGGGUGGAUGAGAUUAAAAUUGUCAGAUGUUAAAAAGAUCGGAGAACCAGCAAUAUUCAGGAGCAAUUCGGUGGAAACCGAUCAAAAAGAAUGACUAAAGGAGCAAGAAAGCGCUAAAGAACAGUCACUAAUAAUACCAGAAAGAGACGAAGCUAUGACUACUGGAGCAAGAAAGCGCUAAAGACCAGUCACUAAUAAUCCCAGAACGAGACGAAGCUAUGGCUACUGAAUAUGAAGUAGAGAAAGUUAUAAAGAGAAGAAGGAUAAGAGGGAAAUACGGUUUCCCUCCUUCCUCUGAUUCCUGGGAAACAGAGGACAAUCUAAAUCCCUAUCUUUUAAAAAUGUUAAAGCAUUAAAAAUUAUU